rnacentral:rRNA from 1 species
CAGUCGCCACGGGAAUACGGAGGGUGCAAGCGUUACUCGGAAUCACUGGGCGUAAAGGACGCGUAGGCGGAUUAUCAAGUCUCUUGUGAAAUCUAACGGCUUAACCGUUAAACUGCUUGGGAAACUGAUAAUCUAGAGUAAGGGAGAGGCAGAUGGAAUUCUUGGUGUAGGGGUAAAAUCCGUAGAUAUCAAGAAGAAUACCUAUUGCGAAGGCGAUCUGCUGGAACUUAACCGACGCUAAUGCGUGAAAGCGUGGGGAGCAAACAGGAUUAGAUACCCCCGUAGUCCCUGUCUCUUAUAC